rnacentral:rRNA from 1 species
UGGGGAAUAUUGGACAAUGGGCGAAAGCCUGAUCCAGCAAUGCCGCGUGAGUGAUGAAGGCCUUAGGGUUGUAAAGCUCUUUUACCAGGGAUGAUAAUGACAGUACCUGGAGAAUAAGCUCCGGCUAACUCCGUGCCAGCAGCCGCGGUAAUACGGAGGGAGCUAGCGUUGUUCGGAAUUACUGGGCGUAAAGCGUACGUAGGCGGUGACUCAAGUCAGAGGUGAAAGCCUGGAGCUCAACUCCAGAACUGCCUUUGAAACUAGGUCGCUAGAAUCACGGAGAGGUGAGUGGAAUUCCGAGUGUAGAGGUGAAAUUCGUAGAUAUUCGGAAGAACACCAGUGGCGAAGGCGGCUCACUGGACGUGUAUUGACGCUGAGGUACGAAAAGCGUGGGGAGCAAACAGGAUUAGAUACCCUUGUAGUCCCUGAG